UAACCCUAUCACUGGGCCUCCAUCAAGUAGGUACCCCAUAACCCUACCACUGGGCCUCCAUCAAGUAGGUACCCAUAACCCUACCACUGGGCCUCCAUCAAGUAGGUAACCAUAACCCUACCACUGGGCCUCCAUCAAGCAGGUACCCAUAACCCUACCACUGGGCCUCCAUCAAGUAGUACCCCAUAACCCUACCACUGGGCCUCCAUCAAGUAGGUACCCAUAACCCUACCACUGGGCCUCCAUCAAGUAGUAACCAUAACCCUACCACUGGGCCUCCAUCAAGUAGGUACCCAUAACCCUAACCCUACCACUGGGCCUCCAUCAAGUAGGUACCCAUAACCCUACCACUGGGCCUCCAUCAAGUAGGUACCCAUAACCCUACCACUGGGCCUCCAUCAAGCAGGUACCCAUAACCCUACCACUGGGCCUCCAUCAAGCAGGUACCCAUAACCCUACCACUGGGCCUCCAUCAAGGGUACCCAUAACCCUACCACUGGGCCUCCAUCAAGUAGGUACCCAUAACCCUACCACUGGGCCUCCAUCAAGUAGGUACCCAUAACCCUAUCACUGGGCCUCCAUCAAGUAGGUAGCCAUAACCCUAUCACUGGGCCUCCAUCAAGUAGGUAACCAUAACCCUAUCACUGGGCCUCCAUCAAGUAGGUAACCAUAACCCUAUCACUGGGCCUCCACCAAGUAGGUACCCAUAACCCUAUCACUGGGCCUCCACCAAGUAGGUACCCAUAACCCUAUCACUGGGCCUCCAUCAAGUAGGUACCCAUAACCCUAUCACUGGGCCUCCAUCAAGUAGGUACCCAUAACCCUAUCACUGGGCCUCCAUCAAGUAGGUAACCAUAACCCUAUCACUGGGCCUCCAUCAAGUAGGUAACCAUAACCCUAUCACUGGGCCUCCAUCAAGUAGGUAACCAUAACCCUACCACUGGGCCUCCAUCAAGUAGGUAACCAUAACCCUACCACUGGGCCUCCAUCAAGUAGGUAACCAUAACCCUACCACUGGGCCUCCAUCAAGUAGGUAACCAUAACCCUACCACUGGGCCUCCAUCAAGUAGGUAACCAUAACCCUACCACUGGGCCUCCAUCAAGUAGGUAACCAUAACCCUAUCACUGGGCCUCCACCAAGUAGGUAACCAUAACCCUGUCACUGGGCCUCCAUCAAGUAGGUAACCAUAAGCCUACCACUGGGCCUCCAUCAAGUAGGUAACCAUAAGCCUACCACUGGGCCUCCAUCAAGUAGGUAACCAUAAGCCUACCACUGGGCCUCCA